rnacentral:rRNA from 1 species
UACGUAGGCAGCGAGCGUUGUUCGGAAUUAUCGUGGCGUAAAGAGCUCGUAGGCGGUGUGUCGCGUCGGCUGUGAAAACUCGGGGCUCAACUCCGAGCUUGCAGUCGAUACGGGCAGGCUAGAGUUCGGCAGGGGAGACUGGAAUUCCUGGUGUAGCGGUGAAAUGCGCAGAUAUCAGGAGGAACACCGGUGGCGAAGGCGGGUCUCUGGGCCGAUACUGACGCUGAGGAGCGAAAGCGUGGGGAGCGAACAGG